rnacentral:rRNA from 1 species
AACCUUUACAAUGCACGAAAGUGUGAUAAGGGGAUUCCAAGUGCUUACACUUUGUGUAGGCUUUUGCUAAGAUUAAAAACCUUGGCGAAUAAGUGGUGGGCAAGACUGGUGCCAGCCGCCGCGGUAACACCAGCGCCACGAGUGGGAGUCGUAAUUAUUGGGCCUAAAGCGUCCGUAGCCGGUUGAGUAAAUCUCUUGUGAAAUCGUUAGGCUUAACUUAACGGCAUGCAGGAGACACUGCUCAGCUUGGAACC